GAGUUUGAUCGUGGCUCAGAUUGAACGCUGGCGGAAUGCUUUACACAUGCAAGUCGAGCGGCAGCGCGGGGCAACCUGGCGGCGAGCGGCGAACGGGUGAGUAAUGCAUCGGAACGUGUCCAUGUCGUGGGGGAUAGCCCGGCGAAAGCCGGAUUAAUACCGCAUACGCCCGAGAGGGGGAAAGUGGGGGACCGCAAGGCCUCACGCGAUUGGGUCGGCCGAUGUCCGAUUAGCUAGUUGGCGGGGUAAAGGCCCACCAAGGCGAUGAUCGGUAGCUGGUCUGAGAGGAUGAUCAGCCACACUGGGACUGAGACACGGCCCAGACUCCUACGGGAGGCAGCAGUGGGGAAUUUUGGACAAUGGGGGCAACCCUGAUCCAGCCAUUCCGCGUGAGUGAAGAAGGCCUUCGGUUGUAAG
rnacentral:rRNA from 1 species